GGUUGGCUCAGAAGCAGCCAUCCUUUAAAGAGUGCGUAACAGCUCACUAGUCGAGUGACCCUGCGCCGAAAAUGUACCGGGGCUAAGCCUGAUACCGAAACUGCGGAUUGUAGGAAACUAUAGUGGUAGGGGAGCGUUGUAUACGAGUAGAAGCCGUACCGUGAGGAGCGGUGGAUUGUAUAGAAGUGAGAAUGCCGGUGUGAGUAGCGAGAUGUAGGUGAGAAUCCUACACACCGAAAGCCCAAGGAUUCCAGGGGAAGGUUCGUCCGCCCUGGGUAAGUCGGGACCUAACGCGAGGCCGAAAGGCGUAGUGGAUGGAAAGCAGGCGAAAGAUUCCUGCACCCGUAUAUGGAGCGAAGGAGUGACGGAGACGGAUAGUGUGACCCUCUUAAUGGAUUGAGGGCGAAGCGAAGCGGCUGGUUACCAGGCAAAUCCGGUAACUGAAAGGCUAGAGCGUGAGAGGUAAGCGAAAUCUUAGGAAAGUAGCGAAGCACAUGAUGACGGCUUCCAGGAAAAGCUUCUGGCAAUGCAUAUGCGGCCCGUACCAAAACCGACACAGGUGGGCAGGGAGAGAAUCCCGAGGUGAGCGAGAGAACUGUUGCCAAGGAACUCGGCAAAAUGACUCCGUAAGUUAGCGAGAAGGAGUGCUUAAGCAAUUAAGCCGCAGUGAAGAGGCCCAAGCGACUGUUUAACUAAAACACAGCUCUCUGCGAAGUCGCAAGACGAAGUAUAGGGGGUGACACCUGCCCGGUGCUGGAAGGUUAAGAGGAUCUGUUAAGAGCGAUCUGAAGCAGUGAUCCGAAGCCCCAGUGAACGGCGGCCGUAACUAUAACGGUCCUAAGGUAGCGAAAUUCCUUGUCAGGUAAGUUCUGACCCGCACGAAAGGUGUAACGAUUUGGGCGCUGUCUCGGCAGCAGACUCGGUGAAAUCUUAGUACCUGUGAAAAUGCAGGUUACCCGCAACUAGACGGAAAGACCCCAUGGAGCUUUACUGCAGCCUGAUAUUGAAUUCUGGUCAUACAUGUACAGGAUAGGUGGGAGACAAAGAGACGUGCACGCCAGUGUACGAGGAGUCGUCGUUGGGAUACCACUCUUGUGUGACCGGGGUUCUAACCUGGUAUCGAGAACAGGUACGGGGAGAGUGUCAGGUGGGCAGUUUGACUGGGGCGGUCGCCUCCCAAAGAGUAACGGAGGCGCCCAAAGGUACGCUCAGAUUGGAUGGAAACCAAUCGACGAGUGCAAUUGCAGAAGCGUGCUUGACUGUGAGACUUACAAGUCGAACAGGGACGAAAGUCGGGAAUAGUGAUCCGGCGGUGCCGAAUGGAAGGGCCGUCGCUCAACGGAUAAAAGCUACCCUGGGGAUAACAGGCUGAUCUCCCCCAAGAGUCCACAUCGACGGGGAGGUUUGGCACCUCGAUGUCGGCUCAUCGCAUCCUGGAGCUGAAGUCGGUUCCAAGGGUUGGGCUGUUCGCCCAUUAAAGCGGUACGCGAGCUGGGUUCAGAACGUCGUGAGACAGUUCGGUCCCUAUCUGUUGUGGGCGAAGGAGAUCUGCGGAGAGCUGUCCUCAGUACGAGAGGACCGGGAUGGACCUACCGCUGGUGCACCGGUUGUUCCGCCAGGGGCAUAGCCGGGUAGCUAAGUAGGGAAAGGAUAAGCGCUGAAAGCAUCUAAGCACGAAGCCUACUCCAAGAUGAGAUCUCCCAUUCG
rnacentral:rRNA from 1 species